rnacentral:lncRNA from 1 species
AAUAAAUAAACAUCACUUUAUUCAUCAUCUAUAACCAUUUAUUACAAUUCAUUUAUUCAUCAAAUUACAAAUAGAAAAGUUAACUUCAAGAGUCAUCCAAGUGGCUCUACCUAUCGGUAGAGGAAGGUUCGCUCUCCAUUGGAAUCCGAUUUAGUACUAGAGAGAGGCUGCUCUGAAAAUCAAAAACAAAGAAAAUUCAGCAAUGCUGAGUAGGAACCCCAAAAGUCAAAUCAAAAUAAAUACAUGAUCAAAAUUCAAUCAAUCAUCCCAUUGGCGUAUAUCAAGUACCCGAAGGAGCACUCCCCCAACAGCGGAUGGAGAGGCUUUAUCCUACGGGAUGAGUUUGUGUUCUCCCAACAGCGGAUGGAGGCAAACUCAUAUCACACUCCCAACAGCAGAUGGAGUGGUGUCCCACACCCGCCAAAGUGGGGACACGUUCCUCCCAACAGCGGAUGGAGGAACCGUCCAACCGCCACGUCUGACGGCCCGCUAAUCCCCGAAGGGAAUCGCCCUACUUGCUCUCGGCAGGAAAAUUAUAGAAUCUUACACUGGUCAUAUCCAUUUCGGGAUGAAAUAACAUAUUUAAAACAUCUCUUUCAAAAAUCAUCAAUAUCAAAUAAUAUAAAUUAGCCCUCAAUUGACUUGAACUCUAGUUUAAUCGAUUCAAUUGAACUCGAUUUACUAGAGCCUAACUGAACUGAUCUCUA